AGAGUUUGAUCCUGGCUCAGGAUCAACGCUGGCGGCGCGCUUAACACAUGCAAGUCGAACGCGAAAGCCUGACUUCGGUUGGGCAAGUAGAGUGGCAAACGGGUGAGUAACACGUGGAUAACCUACCCUCGAGUGGGGAAUAACCCCGGGAAACUGGGGCUAAUACCGCAUACGAUCCAUCGGACUAAGUCCGGUGGCUGAAAGCCUUCGGGCGCUGGAGGAGGGGUCCGCGGCCGAUUAGCUAGUUGGCGGGGUAAAAGCCCACCAAGGCACAGAUCGGUAGCCGGCCUGAGAGGGCGCACGGCCACACUGGCACUGAGACACGGGCCAGACUCCUACGGGAGGCAGCAGUGGGGAAUCUUGGACAAUGGGCGAGAGCCUGAUCCAGCGACGCCGCGUGACUGAUGAAGCCUUUCGGGGUGCAAAAGUCUUUCGGCAGGGACAAUAAUGAUGGUACCUGCAGAAGCAGCUGCGGCUAACUACGUGCCAGCAGCCGCGGUAAUACGUAGGCAGCUAGCGUUGUUCGGAAUUACUGGGCGUAAAGCGAGUGUAGGCGGUUUGCCAAGUCCGUUGUGAAAUCUCCCGGCUCAACUGGGAGGGUGCGGCGGAAACUGGCAGGCUAGAGUGCGGAAUGGGAGAGUGGAAUUCCUGGUGUAGCGGUGAAAUGCGUAGAUAUCAGGAGGAACACCGGUGGUGAAGACGGCUCUCUGGACCGCUACUGACGCUGAGACUCGAAAGCGUGGGGAGCAAACAGGAUUAGAUACCCUGGUAGUCCACGCCCUAAACGAUGCAUACUUGGUGUGGGCUCUUCACUGAGUCCGUGCCGGAGCUAACGCGUUAAGUAUGCCGCCUGGGGAGUACGGUCGCAAGGCUGAAACUCAAAUGAAUUGACCG
rnacentral:rRNA from 1 species